rnacentral:tRNA from 1 species
GAGGGUAUAGCUCAGUGGUUGAGUGCAUGCUUAGCAUGCAUGAGGUCCUGGGUUCAAUCUCUAGUACCUCCA